GUGAGGAAUCUUAGACAAUGGGCGCAAGCCUGAUCUAGCCAUGCCGCGUGAGCGAUGAAGGCCUUAGGGUUGUAAAGCUCUUUCGUGGGGGAAGAUAAUGACUGUACCCCAAGAAGAAGCCCCGGCUAACUCCGUGCCAGCAGCCGCGGUAAUACGGAGGGGGCUAGCGUUGUUCGGAAUUACUGGGCGUAAAGCGCACGUAGGCGGACUGGAAAGUCAGGGGUGAAAUCCCGGGGCUCAACCCCGGAACUGCCUUUGAAACUCCCAGUCUUGAGUUCGAGAGAGGUGAGUGGAAUUCCGAGUGUAGAGGUGAAAUUCGUAGAUAUUCGGAGGAACACCAGUGGCGAAGGCGGCUCACUGGCUCGAUACUGACGCUGAGGUGCGAAAGCGUGGGGAGCAAACAGGAUUAGAUACCCCGGUAGUCC
rnacentral:rRNA from 1 species